rfam:Cathartes aura contig100201, whole genome shotgun sequence.
GGUCAGUGGUGAGUGUUGGCAUGUAUUAUCUGCUCUAAAGUUGAUAUUUAUCACCGCUUUAGCUCUAGAAUUACUCUGAGUAGUCCGA